UGCCAGCCGCCGCGGUAAUACGGAGGGUCCAAGCGUUAUCCGGAAUCAUUGGGUUUAAAGGGUCCGUAGGCGGGAUGAUAAGUCAGUGGUGAAAUCCUACAGCUUAACUGUAGAACUGCCAUUGAUACUGUCGUUCUUGAAUUUGGUCGAAGUGGGCGGAAUAAGUAGUGUAGCGGUGAAAUGCAUAGAUAUUACUUAGAACACCGAUAGUGAAGACAGCUCACUAGGCCUGAAUUGACGCUGAGGGACGAAAGCGUGGGGAGCGAACAGGAUUAGAUA
rnacentral:rRNA from 1 species